rfam:Anopheles dirus strain WRAIR2 unplaced genomic scaffold supercont1.14, whole genome shotgun sequence.
AAAACGGCCCUUUUCAGGGCCACCAAAUGCUUUUUCAAAAGAGUAAU